CCUACGGGAGGCAGCAGUGGGGAAUAUUGCACAAUGGGGGAAACCCUGAUGCAGCGACGCCGCGUGAGUGAAGAAGUAAUUCGUUAUGUAAAGCUCUAUCAGCAGGGAAGAAAAUGACGGUACCUGAGUAAGACGCCCCGGCUAACUACGUGCCAGCAGCCGCGGUCAUACGUAGGGGGCAAGCGUUAUCCGGAUUUACUGGGUGUAAAGGGAGCGUAGACGGCAGUGCAAGUCUGGAGUGAAAGGCGGGGGCUCAACCCCCGGACUGCUCUGGAAACUGUACGGCUGGAGUGCAGGAGAGGUAAGUGGAAUUCCUAGUGUAGCGGUGAAAUGCGUAGAUAUUAGGAGGAACACCAGUGGCGAAGGCGGCUUACUGGACUGUAACUGACGUUGAGGCUCGAAAGCGUGGGGAGCAAACAGGAUUAGAUACCCCAGUAGUC
rnacentral:rRNA from 1 species